rnacentral:rRNA from 1 species
GGGGGCCCGCACAAGCGGUGGAGCAUGUGGUUUAAUUCGACGCAACGCGAAGAACCUUACCAGGGCUUGACAUCCCCUGACCGCGUAUGAAAGUACGUUUUCACCCUCGGGUGACAGGGAGACAGGUGGUGCAUGGUUGUCGUCAGCUCGUGUCGUGAGAUGUUGGGUUAAGUCCCGCAACGAGCGCAACCCCUACUGCCAGUUACUAACAGGUAACGCUGAGGACUCUGGCGGAACUGCCGGUGACAAACCGGAGGAAGGUGGGGAUGACGUCAAGUCAUCAUGGCCCCUAUGUCCAGGGCUACACACGUGCUACAAUGGGCGAUACAGAGUGACGCGAAGCCGCGAGGUGGAGCAAAUCGCAGAAAAUCGCUCUCAGUUCGGAUUGGAGUCUGAAACCCGACUCCAUGAAGGUGGAAUCGCUAGUAAUCGCGCAUCAGCAUGGCGCGGUGAAUACGUUCCCGGGCCUU